rnacentral:rRNA from 1 species
GUCCCCCUGUUUAUUAACUAACACUACAGAUUCAUUAAGUUAGAAUCCGGCGUUAGGACAGUGGAAUCCAGCUAGCCAUGGAGUCUAAAAACUUAAUUAAAAUAUUAAUUAGGAAAUUACAGUCAAGGAUUUGAACAGAUCCGGUGUGGGUUGUUCCCAAAGAGGACCCGGUAAUCGAGUCCACCAAUCUCGCGUGGGGACUAUUCCCACUCCAGGGACCAAGUUCAGGUCCUACCGGGUAAGCAACAACCCCCAUAUCGAGUCAACCAUCUCGCGGACGAAACGUUCGUCCUACAGUCGCCAAGCUCAGGCGAAUGGAGGUGACUUUUGAUGGGACUAUUGAUGUUAAGUCCUCCUUUAAACAUUUACACUGAAUCUCAACUGAUGAAUUAUAUCUUGGAUCGAAGAACAGUAGAAAAAAAUAUCAACUAUUAUACGACCCGAGUGUACCUUAAUAAAGGUACUCUUAAGUCAUCUUGGAACUUUUGACGUAUCUAUCUUUCUUAUUUCGUAGAGUACCUACGUAUUAAGAUCUAACUUUUAAUCCGUAAUCGAAUGAAAAGUUAUAAUCUCAAGUACAGAUUAAGAACUCAUUUUCGGUUCGUGUUAAUUAAAACACUAACAUAAAUU